AGAAGUUUGAUCCUGGCUCAGAUUGAACGCUGGCGGCAGGGCUAACACAUGCAAGUCGAACGGUAACAGGAAACAGCUUGCUGCUUUGCUGACGAGUGGCGGACGGGUGAGUAAUGUCUGGGAAACUGCCUGAUGGAGGGGGAUAACUACUGGAAACGGUAGCUAAUACCGCAUAACGUCGCAAGACCAAAGAGGGGGACCUCGGGCCUCUUGCCAUCGGAUGUGCCCAGAUGGGAUUAGCUAGUAGGUGGGGUAAAGGCUCACCUAGGCGACGAUCCCUAGCUGGUCUGAGAGGAUGACCAGCCACACUGGAACUGAGACACGGUCCAGACUCCUACGGGAGGCAGCAGUGGGGAAUAUUGCACAAUGGCGCAAGCCUGAUGCAGCCAUGCCGCGUGUAUGGAGAAGGCUCGGGUUGUAAAGUACUUCAG
rnacentral:rRNA from 1 species